AACGAACGCUGGCGGCAUGCCUAACACAUGCAAGUCGAACGAGACCUUCGGGUCUAGUGGCGCACGGGUGCGUAACGCGUGGGAACCUGCCCUUAGGUUCGGAAUAACUCCCCGAAAGGGGUGCUAAUACCGGAUAAUGUCUUCGGACCAAAGAUUUAUCGCCUUUGGAUGGGCCCGGGUUGGAUUAGAUAGUUGGUAGGGUAAAAGCCUACCAAGGCGACGAUCCAUAGCUGGUCUGAGAGGAUGAUCAGCCACACUGGGACUGAGACACGGCCCAGACUCCUACGGGAGGCAGCAGUGGGGAAUAUUGGACAAUGGGCGAAAGCCUGAUCCAGCCAUGCCGCGUGAGUGAUGAAGGCCUUAGGGUUGUAAAGCUCUUUUACCCGGGAUGAUAAUGACAGUACCGGGAGAAUAAGCUCCGGCUAACUCCGUG
rnacentral:rRNA from 1 species